GGCUGGUCGGAAGGUAGUGAGUUAUCUCACUUGAUUUGUUCAUGGUCAGUUACUGACUGAACUCCUUGUUCUGCUACUUUCCCCCCUCCUCACUAUUGCACUAGUCUUUU
rnacentral:Y_RNA from 1 species